AUGUACAUGCCUACAACUUUAAUGAAUUGGAUCCCAUUAUAACUCCAUAGUUAAGUGUUCUUGGGCUAGAGUAGUAAUGGGAUGGGUAACCUCUUGGGAAGUCCUAAUGUUUUACAUU
rnacentral:rRNA from 1 species